rnacentral:rRNA from 1 species
UGGGGAAUAUUACACAAUGGGCGCAAGCCUGAUGCAGCCAUGCCGCGUGUAUGAAGAAGGCCUUCGGGUUGUAAAGUACUUUCAGCGAGGAGGAAGGCGUUGUGGUUAAUAACCGCAACGAUUGACGUUACUCGCAGAAGAAGCACCGGCUAACUCCGUGCCAGCAGCCGCGGUAAUACGGAGGGUGCAAGCGUUAAUCGGAAUUACUGGGCGUAAAGCGCACGCAGGCGGUCUGUCAAGUCGGAUGUGAAAUCCCCGGGCUCAACCUGGGAACUGCAUCCGAAACUGGCAGGCUAGAGUCUUGUAGAGGGGGGUAGAAUUCCAGGUGUAGCGGUGAAAUGCGUAGAGAUCUGGAGGAAUACCGGUGGCGAAGGCGGCCCCCUGGACAAAGACUGACGCUCAGGUGCGAAAGCGUGGGGAGCAAACA